AAGGCGUAGCCGAUGCACAUACGGUAGAGAUUCCGUAGCUGCCGGAGGAUUUAAGCAGAGGGACACUGUCAAAGGGUAUGACCCGGGCGUUGGUAGCCCCGGGCGAAAGGGACUGAAAUAUAGUAGGGAAGCAUACUUGGCGGCAGGCGAGAAAAGCUCUGUGGAUAUCUGAGGCACCCGUACCGCAAACCGACACAGGUAGACAGGAAGAGAAUUCUAAGGCCAACGGGAGAAGGGUUGUUAAGGAACUCGGCAAGUUGACCCCGUAACUUAGGGAAAAGGGGUGCUCCUGAAAGGGAGCCGCAGAGAAUAGGUCCAGGCGACUGUUUAGCAAAAACACAGCUCUAUGCUAAAUCGAAAGAUGACGUAUAUGGGGUGACACCUGCCCGGUGCCGGAAGGUUAAGAGGAGGAGUGAGAGCUCUGAAUUGAAGCCCCGGUAAACGGCGGCCGUAACUAUAACGGUCCUAAGGUAGCGAAAUUCCUUGUCAGGUAAGUUCUGACCCGCACGAAUGGUGUAACGAUCUGGACACUGUCUCAACAGCCCGCCCGGCGAAAUUGUAGUACCGGUGAAGAUGCCGGUUACCCGCGACAAGACGGAAAGACCCCAUGGAGCUUUACUGCAGCUUAAUAUUGGAUUUCGGUAUUUCAUGUACAGGAUAGGUGGGAGGCAGAGAAGGCAGCACGCCAGUGUUGCUGGAGCCGCCGUUGGGAUACCACUCUUGAGGUGCUGAAAUUCUAACCUGCGGCCGUGAAUCCGGUCGGGGGACAGUGUUAGGCGGGCAGUUUGACUGGGGCGGUCGCCUCCAAAAAGGUAACGGAGGCGCUCAAAGGUUGGCUCAGCAUGGACGGAAACCAUGCCAGAGAGUGUAAACGCACAAGCCAGCCUAACUGCGAGAGCGACAGUUCGAGCAGUAACGAAAGUUGGAGUUAGUGAUCCGGUGGUAUGUGAGUGGAAAUGCCAUCGCUCAACGGAUAAAAGCUACCCUGGGGAUAACAGGCUGAUCUCCCCCAAGAGUCCACAUCGUCGGGGAGGUUUGGCACCUCGAUGUCGGCUCAUCGCAUCCUGGGGCUGAAUUCAGUCCCAAGGGUUUGGCUGUUCGCCAAUUAAAGCGGUACGCGAGCUGGGUUCAGAACGUCGUGAGACAGUUCGGUCCCUAUCUGUCGUGGGCGCAGGAUAUUUGAGAGGAGCUGUCCCUAGUACGAGAGGACCGGGAUGGACGUACCUCUGGUGCACCAGUUGUCGUGCCAACGGCACAGCUGGGCAGCUAAGUACGGAUCGGAUAAACGCUGAAGGCAUCUAAGCGUGAAGCCGACCUCAAGAUAAGAUAUGCCACUGAGAAAUCAGGUAAGACCCCUUGAAGACUACAAGGUUGAUAGGCCGCAUGUGGAAGCGUCGUGAGGCGUGCAGCAAGGCGGUACUAAUCGGUCGAGGGCUUGACCAG
rnacentral:rRNA from 1 species